GCCUACAUGGCUCAGUGGUUGAGUGCCGACCUAUAAAGCAGGAGGUCAUGGUUAGAUUCCUGGUCAGGGCA
rnacentral:tRNA from 1 species